rnacentral:lncRNA from 1 species
AGGUCUACGGAUCACUUACAUAACUCUCACUAGAGAAUCAUCAGUUAACAUGUAAAUAAGACUCCAUCUGAUAUUCUCUCGUAGGUCAAUUCAAUGAACUUAUUCUCUAAUGAGCAUCCAUAUCUUUGUAUUAGUGUCAUCACAUAAGUAGUUGUGAGACCAACCAUCCUCAUUUCUGAGCAUAUAUAGGACAUGCCAGUCUUACUGAU